rnacentral:rRNA from 1 species
AUUGAACGCUGGCGGCAUGCCUUACACAUGCAAGUCGAACGGCAGCGCGGGCUUCUUCCUGGCCGCGAGUGGCGAACGGGCGAGUAAUGCAUCCGAACGUGCCCUGUAUUUGGGGAUAGCAUGGCGACAGCCGGAUUGAUACCGCAUACGACCUGAUGGUGAAAGCGAGGGAUCGAAAGUCCUCGCGCGAUUUGAGGGCCCGUAGUCGGAUUAGCUAGUUGGUGGGGUAACGGCUUACCAAGGCGACGAUCCGUAGCUGACCUGAGAGGACGACCAGCCACACUGGAACUGAGACACGGUCCAGACUCCUACGGGAGGCAGCAGUGGGGAAUUUUGGACAAUGGGGGCAACCCUGACCCAGCCAUGCCGCGUGCGGGAAGAAGGCCUUCGGGUUGUAAAACGCUUUUGUUCGGGAAGAAAUCCUCUGGGCUAAUACCCCGGGGGGAUGACGGUACCGGAAGAAUAAGCACCGGCUAACUACGUG